rnacentral:rRNA from 1 species
UACGUAGGGUGCAAGCGUUGUCCGGAAUUAUUGGGCGUAAAGAGCUCGUAGGCGGUCUGUCGCGUCGGCUGUGAAAUCCCGAGGCUCAACCUCGGGUCUGCAGUCGAUACGGGCAAACUAGAGUAUUGCAGGGGAGACUGGAAUUCCUGGUGUAGCGGUGAAAUGCGCAGAUAUCAGGAGGAAUACCGGUGGCGAAGGCGGCAUCCUGGACCGACAUUGACGCUGAGGAGCGAAAGCUAGGGGAGCAAACGGG